rnacentral:tRNA from 1 species
GGCGGGGUAGCUCAGGUGGUUAGAGCAGCGGAAUCAUAAUCCGCGUGUCGGGGGUUCAAGUCCCUCCCCCGCUACCA